rnacentral:rRNA from 1 species
AGAGUUUGAUCAUGGCUCAGGAUGAACGCUGGCGGCGUGCCUAACACAUGCAAGUCGAGCGAUUUACUUCGGUAAAGAGCGGCGGACGGGUGAGUAACGCGUGGGUAACCUGCCCUGUACACACGGAUAACAUACCGAAAGGUAUGCUAAUACGAGAUAAUAUACUUUUAUCGCAUGGUAGAAGUAUCAAAGCUCUGGCGGUACAGGAUGGACCCGCGUCUGAUUAACUAGUUGGUAAGGUAACGGCUUACCAAGGCGACGAUCAGUAGCCGACCUGAGAGGGUGAUCGGCCACAUUGGAACUGAGACACGGUCCAAACUCCUACGGGAGGCAGCAGUGGGGAAUAUUGCACAAUGGGCGAAAGCCUGAUGCAGCAACGCCGCGUGAGCGAUGAAGGCCUUCGGGUCGUAAAGCUCUGUCCUCAAGGAAGAUAAUGACGGUACUUGAGGAGGAAGCCCCGGCUAACUACGUGCCAGCAGCCGCGGUAAUACGUAGGGGGCUAGCGUUAUCCGGAAUUACUGGGCGUAAAGGGUGCGUAGGUGGUUUCUUAAGUCAGAGGUGAAAGGCUACGGCUCAACCGUAGUAAGCCUUUGAAACUGGGAAACUUGAGUGCAGGAGAGGAGAGUGGAAUUCCUAGUGUAGCGGUGAAAUGCGUAGAUAUUAGGAGGAACACCAGUUGCGAAGGCGGCUCUCUGGACUGUAACUGACACUGAGGCACGAAAGCGUGGGGAGCAAACAGGAUUAGAUACCCUGGUAGUCCACGCCGUAAACGAUGAGUACUAGCUGUCGGAGGUUACCCCCUUCGGUGGCGCAGCUAACGCAUUAAGUACUCCGCCUGGGAAGUACGCUCGCAAGAGUGAAACUCAAAUGAAUUGACGG